CAGAACGAACGCUGGCGGCGCGUCUUAAGCAUGCAAGUCGAACGGCAAGAGGUAGCAAUACCUCCUAGAGUGGCGGACUGGUGAGUAACACGUGGGUGACAUACCCUUCAGAUGGGAUAGCUGUUAGAAAUAGUAGAUAAUACCGAAUACGAGCACAGGGGUUAGAGAUCUGUGAGGAAAGGAGCUAAGGCUCCGCUGAAGGAAUGGCCUGCGGCCCAUUAGCUAGUUGGUGAGGUAAGAGCCCACCAAGGCGAUGAUGGGUAUCCGGCCUUAGAGGGUGAACGGACACAUUGGGACUGAGAUACGGCCCAGACUCCUACGGGAGGCAGCAGCUAAGAAUAUUCCGCAAUGGACGAAAGUCUGACGGAGCGACGCCGCCGUGGAUGAAGAAGGCCGGAAGGUUGUAAAAUCCUUUUGAAACUGAAGAAUAAGCGUUGUAGGGAAUGACAGCGUGGUGACAGUAGGUUUUGAAUAAGCAACGGCUAAUUACGUGCCAGCCGCCGC
rnacentral:rRNA from 1 species